rnacentral:rRNA from 1 species
GGACUACCCGGGUUUCUAAUCCUGUUUGCUCCCCAUGCUUUCGCGCCUCAGCGUCAGUUUUAGCCCAGUAAACCGUCUUCACCACCGGUGUUCUUCCACAUAUCUACGCAUUUCACCGCUACACGUGGAAUUCCGUUUACCCUAACUAUACUCUAGCAUGGAAGUUUCAAAUGCAGCUCCGGGGUUGAGCCCCGGAAUUUCACGUCUGACUUUCCUUGCCGCCUACGCGCCCUUUACGCCCAGUAAUUCCGAUCAAUGCUUGCACCCUCCGUAUUACCGCGGCUGCUGGCAC